UCCAGACUCCUACGGGAGGCAGCAGUGAGGAAUAUUGGUCAAUGGUCGGGAGACUGAACCAGCCAAGCCGCGUGAGGGAGGAAGGUACAGAGUAUCGUAAACCUCUUUUGUCAGGGGACAAAGACUGGGACGCGUCCCCGGAUGAGUGUACCUGAAGAAAAAGCAUCGGCUAACUCCGUGCCAGCAGCCGCGGUAAUACGUAUGGGGCAAGCGUUAUCCGGAUUUACUGGGUGUAAAGGGAGCGCAGGCGGCCUGCCAAGUCUGGUGUGAAAACCCGGGGCCCAACCCCGGGCCUGCAUUGGAAACUGGCGGGCUGGAGUGUCGGAGGGGCAGGCGGAAUUCCUAGUGUAGCGGUGAAAUGCGUAGAUAUUAGGAGGAACACCAGUGGCGAAGGCGGCUUACUGGACUGUAACUGACGUUGAGGCUCGAAAGCGUGGGGAGCAAACAGGAUUAGAUACCCGGGUA
rnacentral:rRNA from 1 species